GGCUAUAUAGAGAGAGGUCAGGAACCCUGGAGUGGGCCACUGUUGCUACAACAUGGCAGAGAUUACUGAGGCUCUGGAGGAGUCUAGCUCAUAUCCUGAAGCAGAAACUUCAGACCCAAAAGAACAAACUCUGAGCAUCGAAGGGAGGGAGCAGACCCCAUGUCAACUCAAGGACAUAGAGAUGGAGAAGAUAAGGAAGAUACUCAGGAAGGUUAAAUUAGUCCGGAAACUGAGUAUGGGAAGACGAAAUAAAGGGAGAAAGUCAAUAAUGCUAGUCUGUUACCACAGACAUGGUAAAAAGAAGAAUGAAAAUCAGCCAAAGAAGGAUUAAGAAAGCCUGUCUCCCACUUCCCUGUGCGUACCAGGAGUCAGAGAUCUUGAAGCAUCUAUUCUGUCUCCAUAAAAAUCUCUGGGAUCAAAAUUUUGUGUUAACGGUUGUCUGUGAGAGGACCAAAUAAAGUAUGCUGAUGUUGCUGAUUAAAACACCAACAAGUUGCACAAAGGACA